AGAGUUUGAUCAUGGCUCAGAUUGAACGCUGGCGGCAGGCCUAACACAUGCAAGUCGAACGGUAACAGGAAACAGCUUGCUGUUUCGCUGACGAGUGGCGGACGGGUGAGUAAUGUCUGGGAAACUGCCUGAUGGGGGGGGAUAACUACUGGAAACGGUAGCUAAUACCGCAUAACGUCGCAAGACCAAAGAGGGGGACCUUCGGGCCUCUUGCCAUCGGAUGUGCCCAGAUGGGAUUAGCUUGUUGGUGGGGUAACGGCUCACCAAGGCGACGAUCCCUAGCUGGUCUGAGAGGAUGACCAGCCACACUGGAACUGAGACACGGUCCAGACUCCUACGGGAGGCAGCAGUGGGGAAUAUUGCACAAUGGGCGCAAGCCUGAUGCAGCCAUGCCGCGUGUAUGAAGAAGGCCUUCGGGUUGUAAAGUACUUUCAGCGGGGAGGAAGGGAGUAAAGUUAAUACCUUUACUCAUUGACGUUACCCGCAGAAGAAGCACCGGCUAACUCCGUGCCAGCAGCCGCGGUAAUACGGAGGGUGCAAGCGUUAAUCGGAAUUACUGGGCGUAAAGCGCACGCAGGCGGUUUGUUAAGUCAGAUGUGAAAUCCCCGGGCUCAACCUGGGAACUGCAUCUGAUACUGGCAAGCUUGAGUCUCGUAGAGGGGGGUAGAAUUCCAGGUGUAGCGGUGAAAUGCGUAGAGAUCUGGAGGAAUACCGGUGGCGAAGGCGGCCCCCUGGACGAAGACUGACGCUCAGGUGCGAAAGCGUGGGGAGCAAACAGGAUUAGAUACCCUGGUAGUCCACGCCGUAAACGAUGUCGACUUGGAGGUUGUGCCCUUGAGGCGUGGCUUCCGGAGCUAACGCGUUAAGUCGACCGCCUGGGGAGUACGGCCGCAAGGUUAAAACUCAAAUGAAUUGACGGGGGCCCGCACAAGCGGUGGAGCAUGUGGUUUAAUUCGAUGCAACGCGAAGAACCUUACCUGGUCUUGACAUCCACAGAACUUUCCAGAGAUGGAUUGGUGCCUUCGGGAGCUGUGAGACAGGUGCUGCAUGGCUGUCGUCAGCUCGUGUUGUGAAAUGUUGGGUUAAGUCCCGCAACGAGCGCAACCCUUAUCCUUUGUUGCCAGCGGUCCGGCCGGGAACUCAAAGGAGACUGCCAGUGAUAAACUGGAGGAAGGUGGGGAUGACGUCAAGUCAUCAUGGCCCUUACGACCAGGGCUACACACGUGCUACAAUGGCGCAUACAAAGAGAAGCGACCUCGCGAGAGCAAGCGGACCUCAUAAAGUGCGUCGUAGUCCGGAUUGGAGUCUGCAACUCGACUCCAUGAAGUCGGAAUCGCUAGUAAUCGUGGAUCAGAAUGCCACGGUGAAUACGUUCCCGGGCCUUGUACACACCGCCCGUCACACCAUGGGAGUGGGUUGCAAAAGAAGUAGGUAGCUUAACCUUCGGGAGGGCGCUUACCACUUUGUGAUUCAUGACUGGGGUGAAGUCGUAACAAGGUAACCGUAGGGGAACCUGC
rnacentral:rRNA from 1 species